AACAUGUCGUCAUCGCGUCUCGUCUCCUCUUUCAGUUCAUUGUGUUUUUUGACGAUCGAUCGUGAAUUUCGUGAUGAACUGAUGAAAUUAAUUAGAUAGUUGAAAAAAACUACGUGUCAGUUGAUUUUUAUUCGCCUAUUCGGUAUUUUCAUUGCUUUGUGGUUUUCUUCUUCUACGGUUAAACGAUGGAUUCGUCGAAUGAUCCACUCACUUGCAUGGAUGAAAUCUCCACCCUGCAAAAACAACAAGUUAUGGCUCUGAUGUCCUGUAUUAACGUCGGUAACAUAAGCUCGUCUGUGAAACGAGAUGAUCUCAUAGAAGAAUUUACCCCUUUUGGUGUCAUCGAAUCGAUCCAUAUGGCUUGUGAUUCGGUGUCGAAGAAACACGCAGGAUUUGCCUUUAUCGAAUACAGUAUUCCUGAAGCUGCUCUUUUAGCGAUGGAGCAAAUGAAUGGCGUUCUUUUUCAUGGAGAGAAGUUGGAAAUUAAACGUUUGCAUAAUAAUGAGAAUGUUUCAUCGAGUAACAUGCCAUUAACCGACUCCAUUGUAAAGGAGAUUAUCCAAUCAGCCAAGCAAUAUAAUCGUAUUUACAUCGCAUCUGUAAAUCCCCUGCUAACUGAGAGAGAUAUCAAGUUUUUAUUUGAGAAAAUUGGACACGUAAAAGCUUGCGAAUUACCGCCAGGUUAUUCUAGUCAACAUCGACGUAUAAGAUACUGUUUCAUCGAGUUCGAAAGCAAAGAAUCGAUUGAAAAAGCUCUAUCGAUGGAUUUUCGUCGUUACGUAGGACCAUUGUUACAUGUUGGUCGUGUCAUCACACCACCUAAUUCACUUUUUGCGUCAUCGAUAUUACCGAAAAAAGACGUAUAUCGUAAACAAGUAGUCGUAGAUAGAGACAAAGAAAUGAGAUUCGCGAUACGAGCUUAUAGCGAGUAUAUUAAUUUUUUCGCCGUUUGAGAGUUGCAGUUUUCUUACCAUAAUAAUAACAAGAUGAAGUUACCCUGUUACCGUACGUUUGUUUCUAUUCCAAAUAAGAUUGCUGUGUGUGUGUUAAAUAAUGUAAGUUAUGAUAAGAUGAAAAUUUAUCUGAAAGCAGCGAUGUGCAAUGCAGUUCGUGUGGAAAUUUGUGUUCGGUUUUACGUUACUUGUGACAUCGAAGUCGUGAAGUAUAAAUCGUAUUGAAUUCGUCGUUUCGUUCGUAGAUUGAGCUAUUUUGGAUAACAGAUGAUGAUUCAGACGUAGGUAGCAUAGAUGAAUAAUUUCUCCAAAUGAAGUGCAUUCGUGUUGCGUAGUUUUACGAAUUUGUGGAGAUGCUUUGAGAUAGAAAUAAAAUAAAGAUUGAAAAACUAUAA